GGCACUUAUGUUGGAUCAGUACCAAUUAUUAACACUUGUAUGAUAUUAUUCUAGAUAUAUAUUAUACGGGUUGUUACAAUCAUGGAGUUGUUAAGCUUGGAUGUGGCUAUGUUUAUUUGAUGCCUUGCUCUUCAUCUUGCUAUUUGUGUAUUGAUAUUGCUUGAUUCUAAAGUCCAAGGGAAAUUUGGGUUUCCAUAUGACAUUCUUGUCUAUUGGAUUACAUCCCAUUGGUUAGAUCUUUUCAACUCUUAACUUUUAAAUUUGUGCUGAUGAUUAGUC
rnacentral:lncRNA from 1 species